UACAGAGGGUGCAAGCGUUGUUCGGAAUUAUUGGGCGUAAAGGGCGCGUAGGCGGUGCUGUAAGUCUGUAGUGAAAUCUCUGGGCUCAACUCAGAGUCUGCUAUAGAAACUGCAGUGCUGGAGUGUGGGGAGAGGUGAGUGGAAUUCCUGGUGUAGCGGUGAAAUGCGCAGAUAUCAGGAAGAACACCCGUGGCUAAGGCGGUUCUCUAGUACGGUACUGACGCUGAGACGCGAAAGCGUGGGGGAGCGAACAGG
rnacentral:rRNA from 1 species